rnacentral:rRNA from 2 species
AUUGAACGCUGGCGGCAUGCCUUACACAUGCAAGUCGAACGGCAGCACGGGGGCAACCCUGGUGGCGAGUGGCGAACGGGUGAGUAAUACAUCGGAACGUGUCCUGUAGUGGGGGAUAGCCCGGCGAAAGCCGGAUUAAUACCGCAUACGAUCUACGGAAGAAAGCGGGGGAUCCUUCGGGACCUCGCGCUAUAGGGGCGGCCGAUGGCAGAUUAGCUAGUUGGUGGGGUAAAGGCCUACCAAGGCGACGAUCUGUAGCUGGUCUGAGAGGACGACCAGCCACACUGGGACUGAGACACGGCCCAGACUCCUACGGGAGGCAGCAGUGGGGAAUUUUGGACAAUGGGGGAAACCCUGAUCCAGCAAUGCCGCGUGUGUGAAGAAGGCCUUCGGGUUGUAAAGCACUUUUGUCCGGAAAGAAAACCUUUGGGCUAAUACCCUGAGGGGAUGACG